rnacentral:rRNA from 1 species
UACGUAGGGUGCAAGCGUUAAUCGGAAUUGCUGGGCGUAAAGCGUGCGCAGGCGGUUUUGUAAGUCUGUCGUGAAAUCCCCGGGCUCAACCUGGGAAUGGCGAUGGAGACUGCAAGGCUAGAGUUUGGCAGAGGGGGGUAGAAUUCCACGUGUAGCAGUGAAAUGCGUAGAUAUGUGGAGGAACACCGAUGGCGAAGGCAGCCCCCUGGGUCAAGACUGACGCUCAUGCACGAAAGCGUGGGGAGCAAACAG